GUGAGUUGCUUGUUUAGUGAGGUUUUAAUAUUAUCUGACAUUCCUUGUGCUGUCUCCCCUGAGGAGCUCAGAGAACAAACUGCACUUGGGAGCCUGGAGAGCUGCCAUAUUUGGGUGCAGGUGGGACGUGGGAGAGAGCAGUGCUGGCGUUGGUUUCUCAUUGCAGUGCAGGACCCAGCUCUGAAGUGCCUUCGUCCUUGUGAGCUGAAGUUAAGCAUCCGCUUCCCCCUGGCACUCCUGAGAACGGAUGGCUAAUUCCCAUUUCCUAUCAGAAAACUGUGGCUGCCUCUCUUCACUGGGGAGCCAAGGAACUGAAGGUGCUACCAGAGUACAUGGAAUGGCUAACAACUGUUGGCUAUAGCAUUUCUGUCCCAGCCAUGUGUGCAAGGAACUUGUCAUCACCCGAGAUGCUAUUAAGUGGCAGCAGUAUG
rnacentral:lncRNA from 1 species